ACACCGCUUAAAACACCGAAGUUAAGCAAUAUCGAGCCUGGUCAGUACUUUGAUAGGUGACCACUUGGGAAUAUCAGGUGCUGUAAG